rnacentral:lncRNA from 1 species
CGGCGCCAGAUGCGCGGGGUCCGAGCGAGGGGCGGAGGCGACAGGUGCUGCGAGGGGGAUCAUCUUCCUUGCUGACAAGUAUCAUCUAGGAAUCACUCUACCUCGCUGGCAAUUUUGAGAAAAUAGCCAGUUAUUUUUGUGCUGAACUUUCAUCUGGUUAAGGGUCAUUCCUUCAGCAUUCAACUAAUAUUUACUCUCCUAUAUCCUCACCCACCCCAUGGAAAGAAUAUAUGUCACUUCAUCAACAAAAGGCUUGGCCAUGUGACUUUCUUUAGCCAAUGGAAUGUCAGUAGAUGUAAUUUACCACAUCCUUGCAGAAGUUUUAGAUGUGCCUGCAUGAAUUGACUUGGUCUCUUGAGCUUCUGAUCUCUACCAAAAGAAGCGCUUUCCUCAGGCAAUCCAGGACUGCAAAAACACAUACAGCCCAGCAAAGCUGUAGCCAACGCAAAGGCCU